rnacentral:sRNA from 1 species
CUGACAGCCCCCAGGCUCUGGGCCUGCAUUGAUCCACUGUGCACGCAGAGCACAGACAGGACAGUGUAAGUCUCUCUCUACCCACAGUGUGUCACAGCCCAAAUGUGGGGGAUCAGCUCCAAGGGUACAGGAAGGCAGCCCAGCUCCCAUAUCCCCAGUCCUUGCUUUCU